rnacentral:rRNA from 1 species
UACGAAGGGGGCUAGCGUUGUUCGGAAUUACUGGGCGUAAAGCGCGCGCAGGCGGUCUUCCAAGUCAGUGGUGAAAGCCUGGAGCUCAACUCCAGAACUGCCAUUGAAACUGUUAGACUUGAGUACGAGAGAGGUGAGUGGAAUUCCCAGUGAAGAGGUGAAAUUCGUAGAUAUUGGGAAGAACACCAGUGGCGAAGGCGGCUCACUGGCUCGUAACUGACGCUCAGGCGCGACAGCGUGGGGAUCAAACAGG